rnacentral:lncRNA from 1 species
ACGUUAGUUUAUAAAGAGUUGUAUAUUUCGAAGUCACUUUUUAAGCUGUUAGUAUUCUGUUAUAUUUAUACUGGAACAGUGAAUUCCAUAACUCAUACUAGAGUUAGAAAAGAAAGAUGGCACCACCAAUAAUCUGACAAGUGAGGUUUUAAGAAUAGAUCUGCUUCAUAACUGUAGGUUUUUUCCUUUGACAAACUGUGAGAUAUUUAGUUUUCAUUAUGGAAAAAAGGAAAAAACUAUGGGAUAUUUAGCAGUAGCUGGUAAAUCAUAUAAUGCAACAUACUGUGGGCAAUUCCAAUCUCCCGUUUUCAUUUCUUGAACCGGACGAGCUUCUCGACUAGGUCCUUCUGCUUUGCAUUUCAGGCACCGUGCAUUGCGGGAGAAGUUCAUGAAGUUGCACCUGUAGCAAGUAAACGUCAGUUCAUGCCAGGAACAUGAGCACAAGGAACUGGAAGCAACACUAACGAAAGGAAGAAAAAGAAGAGGACGAGGGAGGGUUGCUCUAAUGUUAGAGCUCCUCGACUUUAACCAUUAGGUUGGGGGUUCAAGUUCAUGCCAGGAACAUGAGCACAAGGAACUUGAACCAGACGAGGUUCUCGACUAGGUCUUUCUGCUUUGCAUUUCAGGCACUGUGCAUUGCGGGAGAAGUUCACGAAGUUGCAC